CCAUCCGCCUCUCCCCCACGCCCGGUCACCACGCUCUCUACACCGGGCACUCCAGGCGAGGCAACUAACUCCGGGAAAAUGUAUUUCUUGCAUUGGCACAAACACAUACAUACAUACAUACAUACAUACAUACAUACAUACAUACAUACAUACAUACAUACAUACAUACAUUUGGAGUGGCUGCGUAGAGUAUUGGCAGUCUGAGUCGGGGUCGGGAGCACACAAGACUAACCGACUUGUGCUGUGUGCUCCCGACCCUUGCGCUGUGUUUCGGCUUCGGCCCCCGGCUCUCGCGGCCCACAGUGUAAUCUAAGUCAUACAUACAUACAUACAUACAUACAUACAUACAUACAUACAUACAUACAUACAUACAUACAUACAUACAUACAUACAUACAUACAUACAUACAUACAUACAUACAUACACACAUACACAUGUGUCAGGGAGCGGUGGGGUACUUUUCCGUCGCUCCGUGUCCCACGGGUUUACGUCUACGUGGGUUCUCCUCCGGCUGACCCACAUGGUUCAACUGGACCGCCGUACUUGUCGUACCACAUGGACACCCCACAUUCCUCGGUGCUCAUUCCUGCUUCUACUGCCCGGUCAUGCAUGCAUGGUGGUGGUGGUGGCGGUGGUGGUGGUGGUGGUGCUAUUGCUUGUGGC
rnacentral:lncRNA from 1 species